GAAGGGUUCCAUGUGAACAGCAGUUGAACAUGGGUCAGUCGACCUAACGGGAUAGGCGAAGGCCGUUCUGAAGCGGGGUGAUGUUCGCGUCGCCCCGGCGGACCGAAAGGGAAUCGGGUUAAUAUUCCCGAACCUCGACGCGGAGAUUGGCGCUCCGGCGCCUAGUGCGGCAACGCAAACGAACUCGGAAACGCCGACGUGGGUCCCGGGAAGAGUUCUCUUUUCUUGGUAAGGGGCGGCGACCCUGGAAUCGGUUCGCCCGGAGAUAGGGACAUGGGCCCCGUAAAGCAGCACGUCUCUUGUGCUGUCCGGUGAGCUCGCGUCGGCCCUUGAAAAUCCGAGGGAGACGGUGUAAUUUUCGUGCGAGGUCGUACCCAUAUCCGCAGCAGGUCUCCAAGGUGAACAGCCUCUGGCCGAUAGAACAAUGUAGGUAAGGGAAGUCGGCAAACUAGAUCCGUAACUUCGGGAAAAGGAUUGGCUCUAGGGGCUGGGUCGGUCGGGCUGAGGUACGAAGCGGGGCGCGGCGCUGUACCGGACUGGGCGAACGACGGCCUCCCUCGCGGGGGGCUGGCGUGAGCCUGGACCUGUGUCGGCGUCUUCCCGUGGAAUGCCGCAGCUAACGCGGGCCUCGCGGCCCGCUUCGGCCGGCGUCGAACAGCCGACUUAGAACUGGUACGGACCGGGGGAAUCCGACUGUUUAAUUAAAACAAAGCUUUGCGAUGG
rnacentral:ncRNA from 1 species